rnacentral:rRNA from 1 species
GACGGAGGAUGCAAGCGUUAUCCGGAAUGAUUGGGCGUAAAGCGUUCGCAGGUGGCUAUUCAAGUCUGCUGCCAAAGACCGGGGCUUAACCCCAGAGAGGCAGUGGAAACUGAAUGGCUGGAGUACAGAUCGGGUAGAGGGAAUUCCCAGUGUAGCGGUGAAAUGCGUAGAGAUUGGGAAGAACACCGGUGGCGAAAGCGCUCUGCUGGACCGCAACUGACACUGAGGGACGAAAGCUAGGGGAGCGAAAGGG